GAGAGAACACAUGAGGACAAACAGACGGAGAGAGAAAGAUGAGAAAAAACAAGCUCAGGGACAGGAGAGGCUAAGAAACAGUUGGACUGAAGAGGUAAAUGACGACAUCAUAGGUUAACAGUCAGUGUAAUACUGUAUAUGUCCCCUAUGCAUAAUUGAUCUUAUUGUUUUGUAUUCUUUUUUAUUUUUGCAGGUGACACAAAAUAGACCACAAUGCCCUGUCCAACGCCCUGCUGUGACCUACUGGAUACCUAAGGUGACACAAUUAGACCACAAUGCCCUGUCCCAACCCCCUGUCCCAACCCCCUGCUGUGAUCUACUGGAAACUAGGGAUGCACCGAAUUUUCGGCCGAAAAUGGCCCAAAAGCGCAUUUUCGGUUUUCGGCCGAAAUGCUUUUAUCACCGAAACAGAAAUUUGUGUUGACGCAAACAAAAAACGCAGCCAGCACACGCUUGUCUGGAUAAGCGCCAAUAUGUCUGUGGUGUGGACGUUUUUCAAUGUUUCUGAGAAAGACCCACGUAUAGCGAUUUGCAAAAAUUGCAAUGCCUUGAUUUUAAUGAAGUUAGUACACAGUCAUAGCCAUAAAAGCAAUGGUACUAGGGUUGUAUUAUCCAGUAUAAACGGUAUAAACUUUGAAACUAGGUAAACCGCCAUCUUCUCCGUCAACUCUCCUCUCACAGUCGGUGACAGCGUCUGGCAGCGCACCAAUUCUCGUUGACAGCGUCUUGUAACGUUCUAUAUAUAAUAGUAUAAUAUAAUUUUAUACAUAAUAUCACGGCCUAAAGCUCUGUGCGCCUCCGGAUGGCCGUAGCGCGGGGAGCUCUCGUAGGGAUUGGGCUUCGCGGGGUUUGUUUACCGGCGUUGCUAUGGUUACCGGUCUUGCGUGUUCCAACUUAUUAGGUAGCCUAUCUAUUAAGUUUGUAUAUAUAUUUUUUUUUUAAUGAAAAAACACAUCAAAAAUAAAACAGUGCAAAGACAAACUGCCGAACUUUUAGCCUUUUUAACCUAAUACCUUAUACCGCGGCAACCCUAAAUGGUACUAAUAAUUGUCAUAAUUUCGGUGUUUCGGUUUUCUGUUUUCGGCCUUGGUUUCCUCAUAUUCGGUUUUCGGUUUCGGCCAAGAAUUUUCAUUUCGGUGCAUCCCUACUGGAAACCUAAGGUAAAUAAAUAAUUAACAUUUGCAUGAAAGAAUGAUAGUGACUUUUGCCCAUCCCUUGUAUGGUGUAUCUCAUUAUGCCAUAUUAGGUACAUCAGACCGGUUACUGUUCGCCUGGAGCCCCCAAAGGCCCAAGUUCACCGCUUCCUACAUGCUGGGUUUAGUCCGAUGAUACAACUGAAAUCUCAACAUCCAAACUUUAGAAAAAAUAUAUAUAGAGUAGGCCUACCAUAAUGUUAACUGUUUCUUUUUAACGGACAUUUUCUAAUGCGCCAAUUAAAAUAGAUGUAUAUUUAUAUCUAUAUACCCCCUUGGCUUAACAAGGGGGUGCAUAAAAGGAACACACCAGUGAACCGUAGUAGCCUACUCGCCAAAUACUGAUGAAGAUGUUUUCUCGUUCUGGGUUCCUGCGUUGGUCGCCUGCUGCAGGCCUGCAACCAUGUUCAACAUAUUGUAUUCGUUAUAAGUGUGUUUGCUACUGCAAGCACAUCUAGGCUACUGUUCAUCUUAAAUAUACUUAUUCUGCAUACUUUCAGCUACAGAAACCAUUCAACUAUCAAAACGUCCAGCUCGUUAACGGCAUGAUGGCUAUCUCUCGGCGAUUUUCAACUCUUUGAACUUUUUAAACUAUUGCGCUUUUUUUUUUUGGACAUUGUAAGCUAAGUCAAUCGGCGGACGGCUCCGCCGUCGCCUUCUUUGACAUCGUAACUUGUUCAAUUUUCAACGCUAACCUUCGUUUAAACUAUUGAACAAAUAACACACUUGUAUCUUCAUUAAUCUGAAAAACAAAUUUCGAUUACCUUUAUACUUUUUUCAGAAUCACAGUUUACGUUCCAUAUCGGCUUCGCUUCAGUUGUUCUCAGUUGGUCAGUGAUUAGCUGAGGUCAGAACAUGGCGGACGGGCAGGUGGCGCUGCCUGAUUGGGCGGUUUGUACCGCCAAAUUAAUUAGGCUACGGACGAAACGCAUUCUAGUUUGAACUACUAUCACACAUUCUCCAAAUUAUAUCUUUUAUAUAAUGUAUCUACCAUAUUAACCAUCUCGAUUUUAUUUUAUAAUCUUGUUUAUGUUGCAUGUGUAUACUGUGUCAGACGUGUUCAAGCGACUGUGACUUCAAAUUCCCCUCUGGGGGAUCAAUAAA
ensembl:lncRNA